rnacentral:rRNA from 1 species
CCCGACUGCUAUUUGGGUGAGGAUAAGCCAUGCGAGUUGAAUGGGAAACCUAAAAAUCCCAUGGCAAACUGCUCAGUAACACAUGAUCAACUUACCCUAUAGAGGAAAAUAACCUCGGGAAACUGAGGAUAAUGUUCCAUAGUUGAAUCGGCUUGGAAAAGUUUUUCAAUAAAAGGGAUAAGGAAAAUGGUCCUUAUCUGCUAUAGGAUAGGAUCGUGCUCGAUUAUGGUUGUUGGUGAGGUAAAGGCUCACCAAGCCGAUAAUCGAUAGGGGCCGUGAGAGCGGGAGCCCCGAGAUGGGUACUGAGACAACGACCCAGGCCUUACGAGGCGCAGCAGGCGCGAAACCUCCGCAAUACACGAAAGUGUGACGGGGUUACCCAAAGUGUUCAUUAGAACUGUGGUAGGUGAGUAAUGUUCCCUACUAGAAAGGAGAGGGCAAGGCUGGUGCCAGCCGCCGCGGUAAAACCAGCUCUUCAAGUGGUCGGGAUAAUAUUGGGCUUAAAGUGUCCGUAGCCGGUUUAGUAAGUUCCUGGUAAAAUCGGGUAGCUUAACUAUCUAUAUGCUAGGAAUACUGCUAUACUAGAGGGCGGGAGAGGUCUGAGGUACUACAGGGGUAGGGGUGAAAUCUUAUAAUCCUUGUAGGACCACCAGUGGCGAAGGCGUCAGACUGGAACGCGCCUGACGGUGAGGGACGAAAGCCAGGGGAGCGAACCGGAUUAGAUACCCGGGUAGUCCUGGCCGUAAACGAAGCAAAUAGUAGGUGAUGGCACGGCCAUGAGCCGUGUCAGUGCCGUAGGGAAACCGUUAAGUGUGCCGCCUGGGAAGUACGGUCGCAAGGCUAAAACUUAAAGGAAUUGGCGGGGGAGCACCACAAGGGGUGAAGCCUGCGGUUCA